UACAGAGGUCUCAAGCGUUGUUCGGAUUCAUUGGGCGUAAAGGGCUCGUAGGCGGCCAACUAAGUCGGAUGUGAAAUCCCCAGGCUUAACCUGGGAACUGCAUUUGUGACUGCAUGGCUAGAGUUUGGCAGAGGGGGGUAGAAUUCCACGUGUAGCAGUGAAAUGCGUAGAUAUGUGGAGGAACACCGAUGGCGAAGGCAGCCCCCUGGGUCAAGACUGACGCUCAUGCACGAAAGCGUGGGGAGCAAACAGG
rnacentral:rRNA from 1 species